GCCGAAGUAGCUCAGGGGUAGAGCAACUGAUUCGUAAUCAGUAGGUCGGAGGUUCAAAUCCUCUCUUCGGCACCA
rnacentral:tRNA from 2 species